rnacentral:tRNA from 1 species
UAGAGUCUGGUGUAGAUUUGGUAGCACGAAGAAUUUUGAAUUCUUAGGGGUGGGUUCAAUUCCUACGGUUCUAG